AAAAAAAUGGGAGAUUGUCGCGGGGCAUGGGCGACCUGACUGCGGCGGCGCCGGUGUUUCAACGUCGGGCUAGCGACGGAUGGACGCCAAGGGUAUGGAGUUCCUCCUUGACGCGGUUGACAGAUUUCGUGCGGAAUCUCCGACGAGUCUGCUCAAUUGACUGACAAGGUGAAUCCCCAAGCCCCGUGCUGGACAAAAAGGCUCCGGCACGGAAGUGCGCCACCAGACCGAGUGCCAUGCCCAUCGAGGAUGAGCGCUCUCGAGCUUUCAAUCCGCAAAUAUGCAGAGCAGCCUGACAAGAGCGUCGUUAGACCUGAGCCUAGGUCUCAGUUUCGAUUCAUUGGACUCAGUACCAGAAAGAUAAUUCACUUAACCUGUCGUUCACAUGUAGGCACUCGACACUUGCAUGAAAGCCCUGGAGGUAGUGAGGAUGGGUGAUGCGAGUGCAGAAGUGUUGAUCAGAUGUUUGGUGGUCUAGAAGCUUUACUGGUGAGUGGUGCACCUUUAGCCGAGAGGAGAGAUGGUUUGGGUUUUGAGGACCGCAUAUCCAGCUUAACUCCGGGUACAUUACUUGGCAAUGGAGAAAUUGCAUAUGUUGAUGACGAAGGUGCUGAUAUAUGCAUUAAUACUAGAAGCUCUGUUAGUGUGAAUGCUCUCCAUGGCCUAACGGCUCUAGAAAAAGCAAAUGAGUGUUGGGAGACCAACAAAUAGCAGAGAGAAAGCACCGUGCGAGGGUUUGAGUAAGCGGACCAGAUUAUGCAACAUAUGCCGUCGAGAGGUUUGGUUUGAGUAAGUGGACCAGAUUCUGCAGCAUACGCCGUCGAGAGGUUUGGUUUGAGUAAGAGGACCAGAUUCUGCAGCAUAUGCCGUCGAGAGGGGCACAAACGCACUACAUGCCCGGAAAGAGGGCUGCUCUGAAGAAACCCUUGAGCCUGGAAAAUGCAAGAAUUUCGGUGUGGAAGGGCACCGCCGGAACACGCGCGCAAGGCGUCUUGCUGUUGCUGAAAAAUGCGUCUUGCUGUUGCUGAAAAAUGAAGUAUGAACUUUGAAUUUGUACUCUGUAUUUUUGUUGCUCCGAGGAUUUUCUAGUGUAUUUCUGUGAGCAUUCCUCCACGCUUGUUCCUGACUUUCGAGAGGCAUGUUACAGACCUUUGAGCACAACUAUG